rnacentral:rRNA from 1 species
CGGGGUGAGUAACGCGUGGGUAACCUGCCUCAUACAGGGGGAUAACAGUUAGAAAUGGCUGCUAAUACCGCAUAAGCACACAGCUUCGCAUGGAGCAGUGUGAAAAACUCCGGUGGUAUGAGAUGGACCCGCGUCUGAUUAGCUAGUUGGUAAGGUAACGGCUUACCAAGGCGACGAUCAGUAGCCGACCUGAGAGGGUGACCGGCCACAUUGGGACUGAGACACGGCCCAA